ACGAGCCUGUGACUAUCGCUCUGAAGAGGGACUCUGCAACGAGUCCGAAACGCACUUCAUUGCUGUAAACGUGGAUACAUCCGUACAAUUUUAAGCAAUACGACAAUCUACGAAAGUUUCAACACAUUCAAAACAUCAAUGUUGUGUUAUAGAUUCAAUUAAAAAUUAUGGAGAUGAUGAGCAAAAUAAUGUUCAAGCUAAAUAACAUUUUUCCAAUACUAUUAUUUCAAUGUUUAAUGGCCAGCAGUUUCAUCCAAACCCAACAAAUGUUUUAACUGUACUUCAUAGGCGUACCAGAUUGUUUGAACGCGAACGUGAUUUAAUAUUCCUUUAGUGAAAUUGGAAAUCUUUUGUAAUGAUAUCUGUAGUCGUACAUUUGCUGGUUUUAUAGAUUAACCUCAAGAUUUGUUAUUGCAAUGUGUAUAAGAACUUUAUUAAGUUUUGUUAGGUUAUGAUUUAUCAAUUUGUAAUUAAGUAAAUAUUAAACUUUUUAAUAAUUGACGAAAUAAAAAAUUGUUUUGAUUAAAAUAUUUCGGA